CUGAGCUGUAUUAGGGUGUGGCCUGGCCUGGCCAACAUGGUUGGUGGAAACAGAGAAAGAGGAGGGGUCAGAUUUUGGAGGGAAAAAGAACAAUAGAUAGGUUUUUUUUUAUGGUUAAAAAAAGAGGCCAAGGAAACGAGGAAGAAAAAAAAUGCACAGUUGCUGUUGAGUAGCUAAAAGUUUAUUUAUUUUUACUAAAGUAGCUUAAGGCUGAAAGUCUUCAGAAAUUGAUCCACAUCUGUGGAUCACUGGAUACACUGGAAUCUCCCGGAAUCUCCCGGAAUCUCCUGAAACUGUAUACGGAAGGAAAUCUUCUGAUCAGGAACGUUAGCGUGGAGAAGAGGAGGAGGAGGAGGAGGAGGAGGAGGAGCUGAACACUGUUAUAGUUUUAAAGAAACUGACACCCAGUGGACACGCCUCCUUCGCUGAAACUGACGCCCAGUGGACACGCCUCCUUCGCUGAAACUGACGCCCAGUGGACACGCCUCCUUCGCUGAAACUGACGCCCAGUGGACACGCCUCCUUCGCUGAAACUGACGCCCAGUGGACACGCCUCCUUCGCUGAAACUGACGCCCAGUGGACACGCCUCCUUCGCGAAACUGACGCCCAGUGGACACGCCUCCUUCGCUGAAACUGACGCCCAGUGGACACGCCUCCUUCAGUGAGACUUUUCUAUAUAAAACACAGUUAAC
ensembl:lncRNA